UACGGGGGGGCAAGCGUUGUUCGGAAUUACUGGGCGUAAAGGGUUUGUAGGUGGCUCGCUAAGUCAGACGUGAAAUCCCUCAGCUUAACUGGGGAACUGCGUCUGAAACUGAUGAGCUUGAGUGCAGGAGAGGAACGCGGAAUUCCAGGUGUAGCGGUGAAAUGCGUAGAUAUCUGGAGGAACACCGGUGGCGAAGGCGGUUCUCUGGGCCUUACCCUGACGCUGAGGAGCGAAGCGUG
rnacentral:rRNA from 1 species